GAGAAACCGAUGUUCAUGCCAUCAGGUCAGAGGCUACUCAGACGGAAUAUAAGGUGUUGCUCCUCCAACCCGAGUGUGGCCUCCUCAUGGCACCCUCUAUCUGCAGUGCUACUCUACCGUCACAACUGAGACAGUGGCAUCCCUCAACAGAGGCCUUUGUUAUAAACACCAGAGGUUCUACAGAUGCCAGAAAUCCAGAGUAACACACACAAAAUGCUGGAGGAACUCAGCAGAUCAGGCAGCAUCAAUGGAGAGGAAUAAACAGUUGAUAUUUCAGGCAGAACACUGACGAAAAGGUAUUUGUUAUUUGCUAAAGUGAAUCUCCGAGGAGGGUAAGUUAUGGUAUUGUUGUGUGAAGGUGACUCAGGUUGUGCAAUGCCUUGACAUCACAUUGGGUCAACAGACUUUGAACGUGUUACAAAGAAGAGAAUAGUGGCCCAAAUUAUUAAACUUGGGUACUGAGCAUCUGGGUGAAUUAUAAGCAGGAAACUUACAUCACUGCAAAGUGCACGUAUCACAAUGCCUGCUCAUUUUAAGUCUGGUUUCAUGGCUACUCUCGUCCAAAACAGUCAAGUGGUGCAUUGAACUUCCUUCUCUUGCCAAGAAAUCUAAACUCAUGGGAAGAUCUCUGACCUAACAUCUUCAGUGCCUCUCAGAGAGAUGUCAGGUUGGGGUGAACGGAAGAAGCAAGGAGUGAAAACAUUCCAAAAGGCACGCACCGAUGUGUAGCUAGGCUGUAAAAGGUUGUUCGUAACUAAGGAGAUCCCUAGCUCUUUAUCAGUUUAUCUGCAAUAAAUCAGACUUUAGAUAAGAUGUUAUCUUCUCCUUGAACGCAACCAUGACUUCAUGACUAUUGGAAUCCUGGGACACAGGGUCCAGGAGCAGAAAACUGUACUAUAAAGUUUCAUCAAUGGGUGUGGUGAAGCAAUUAACCGUCUCAAAGUAUCAUGUGAUCCUCAACAAUAUGUGUUUAUCUAACCAUUUGAAAAUGGCUCUGGAAAUUUGAUCAAAAAGACCUGGGAUUGGUCGUUGUUUUGUUUUACCUGCAAGCCCACAUUGAAGUGUAUUGGAAGUCUUAAGGGAUCUUUUGAUAGACGGUUUCCCAACCCACACCUAUGUACAAUCCCAAGAAUGAGUGUUAGAAGAUCUAAACAUUCCUGGAGUUCUAAUAUCCCCGCUGGACACAGUUCAAGCUACACAGGUGUUAAAGGUAACAGAAGGAAGUCUAUAAAUGUUGGAAAUCCAGAGCAAUACACACAAUACACCUGGAGGAAUUCAGCAGGUCAAACAGCACCUAUGGAAAUGAAUAUUCGGCUGAUGUUCCAGGCUGAAUCCCUUUAUCAGGAAAAGAAGGGGGAAGACGUCUGAAUAAAAAGAUGUGGGGAAGGGAAGGAAGCAAGCUAGAAGGUGAUAUGUGAAGCCAGGUGUGUAGGAAAUGUAAAGGGCUGGAGAGGAAGGAAUCUGAUGGGAGAGGAGAGUAGAUCGUAGGAUAAAGGGAAGAAGGAGGGGAUCUAGGUGGAGGUGAUAGGCAGGUGAGAAGAGGUAAGAGGCCAGAGUGAGGGAAUAGAAGAAGAGGGAUAGGAAGCGAUUUUUUUUUACAGGAAGGAGAAAUCAAUAUUCAUGCUGUCAGGUUGGAGGUUACCCAGAUCGACUAUAGUUCAGCAUUUAAUACCAUCAUUCCCACAUUCCUGAUUGAGAAGGUGUAGAACCUGGGCCUCUGUACCUCCCUCUGCUAGUGGAUCCCCGACUUCCUAACCGGAAGAUCACAAUCUGUGUGGAUUGAUGAUAACAUAUCCUCCCCGCUGACGAUCACCACCUAAGGCGUGUGUGCUCAGCCCACUGCUCUACUCUCUGUAUACACGACUGUGUAGCUCAGCAUAGUUCAAAUACCAUCUAUAAAUUUACUGACGAUACAACCAUUGUUGGUAGAAUCUCAGGUGGUGACGAGAGGGCGUACAGGAGUGAGAUAUGCCAACUAGUGGAAUGGUGUCACAGCAACAACCUGGCACUCAACGUCAAUAAAACAAAAGAGCUGACUGUGGACUUCAGGAAGGGUAAGACAAAGGAACACACACCAAUCCUCAUAGAGGGAUCAGAAGUGGAGAGAGUGAGCAGCUUCAAGUUCCUGGGUGUCAAGAUCUCUGAAGACCUAACCUCGUCCCAACAUAUCAAAGUAGUUAUAAAGAAAGCAAGACAGUGGCUAUACCUCAUUAGGAGUUUGAAGAGAUUUGGCAUGUCAACAAAUACACUCAAAAACUUCUACUGUUGCACCAUAGAGAGUAUUCUGACAGGCUGCAUCACUGUCUGUAUGGAGGGGCUACUGCACAGGACCGAAAGAAGCUGCAGAGAGAGGGUUGUAAAUCUAGUCAGCUCCAUCUCGGGUACUAGCCUACAAAUUACCCAGGACAUCUUCAGGGAUCUUCAGUGUCUCAGAAAGGCAGUGUCCAUUAUUAAGGACCUGCAGCACCCAGGGCAUGCCCUUUUCUCACUGUUACCAUCAGGGAGGAGGUACAGAAGCCUGAAGGCACACACUCAGUGAUUCAGGAACAGCUUCUUCCCCUCUGCCAUCUGAUUCCUAAAUGGACAUUGAAGCUUUGGACACUACCUCACUUUUUUUUUAAUAUACAGUAUUUCUGUUUUUGCACAUUUUUAAUCUAAUCAGUAUACCUAUACUGUAAUUGAUUUACUUGUUUAUUCAGUAUUAUUAUUUUAUUUUCUCUCUCCGCUAGAUUAUGUAUUGCAUUGAACAGCUGCUGCUAGGUUAACAAAUUUCUCAUCACUUGCCAGUGAUAAUAAACCUGAUUCUAAGGUGUUUCUCCUCCUCCCCUGAGGGUGGCCUCAUCUUGGCACAAGAGGAGACCAUGGACUAACGUAUUGUAAUGGGAAUCGGAAUUGGAAUUAAAAUGUUUGGCCACUGGGAAGUUCCACAUUUGGCAGAUGGAGCGGAAGUGCUCGAUGAAGUAGUCCGCCAGUUUUCGACGGGUCUCACUAACGUAGUGGAGCCUGCAUCAAGGGGACCAGACACAGUAAACGACCCCAGCAGAUUCACAGGGGAAGCGUUGCCUCCUCUGGAAGGACUGUUUGGGGCACUGAAUGGAUGUUGAGGAUGUUCACCUCAGUAAGAUUUCUUUCCCUGUUGGCUGUGGUUUGAUUCGGCCACAGGGUCGAGUUCUGUGUGUGAUAUCCUCGGUCAUGUUUUUUACUGUUAUGCUCUAUGUAUUUCAUUUAGCAGUUCCAUAAGAGCAGUCUGUUCUGUUUUCAGCUUGUUUGGAUUAUUGUUGAAGGUAAGAGAUGAGGAGAGACGUGUGCCAUCCAAUUAGGGUGGUCGGAUUAAGGGGAGGCUUCUCUGGUGAGGGGCACUAAGUUUGGCCUUCAAACUUUGGAGAUGAAGAGGGAAGCCACAGGAGAGAAGAGGUCAUAGUACUCGACCCGGAGUGGGACCAUGAUUCCACAAAGCCAGGGGGGAGAUCGUUUGAGGAUCGGUGACGAGGAGAAACCUUGAGCUCCAAUUUGUGCACAUUUGACUGCUUCAUUAAAAUGGGCCCUUUCCUUUUUCUUUGUUCUUUUCUUUACUAACCCUUCAGUCAAAUUAAUAUUCAUAAAUAUCAUCUUUUAAUCGCACUGAUUUGUAACAGGGUUGUGAAUCAUAUAGCAUUCGCACAAACAAGGGUUUGUGGUGGGAGGGCUCCUCAAUCUCAUUAGUUUGGUGGGGUCAGAGGUUGUCUUCCCUAGACAUACACAGCCAAGGAAACUAGGGGGUUUCAUAUGGAAGGCGUUUGUAACCACUAGUCAGCCUCACACUCUCUUGUACCCAUUCUUCCACAGCUAAUUCUCAAUCACUUGUCCAUAAAGUACCAGAGUUCAGCUGAAAGGAGAGAAGCAAGUGUGGGUCUAGCACGGUGGUGUGGCAAUUAGCGUAAUGCACUACAGUGCUAGCUGUAAGAUCAGUGUUCCAUCCCCACUGCUGCCUGUAAGAAGUUUGUCCGCCUGGGUUUCCUCUGGAUGCUCCAAUACUUUCCCGCGUUCCAAAGAUGUACAGUUGGGGCACUGACUUCUCAUCAGUAUGGUUCCAGACAGCGUAGCACAUGAAGAAAGACAGCAGAGGAACAGGCCCUUCGGCCCAUCAUGCCUGUGUUGAACGUGCUGCCAAAACAAAGUAAUCCUAUCUGUUUGCACAUGAUUCAUAACCCGCCAUUCCACGGGCGUUUGUCUAAUUGCAGCAUCUGUCAUCAAGCACUCCUAUCGUCCAGACCAUGCUCUCUUCCUGUUGCUGUCAUUGGAAGGAGGUACAGGAGUCUUGGGUCCCGCACCACCGGGUUUGGGAAACAUCAGGCAUGGAUAACUUCACUCACCACAACCUGGAGAUGACUCCAUCACCUACGGACUCACUUUCGAAGAAUCUACAACUCAGGUUCUCAAUCUCGAUGAUCAAGUGGAAGUUAUCUAACUGACCGGUUAACGGGGUUAUUUGGAGAGUGAGAAUUCGAGCAAAGGAGAGUCAAAUCUUGAAAAUGUCAGAGUUGUCGGACAUGCCCAGCAAGUGGAGGGAGAGACUCCUGUGUUCCUGCCAUAAAGCAACAACAGCGCCUCAAUUCUUCCCUUCCUCCAUCCAGGGACAGAAAAUUGUCCUCUCAAGUGGAACAGUGAUUUGCUUCCAGUUUGGUGCACUGCAUUUUGUACCUACGUUGUGGUGUCCUCUGAACAGGGGAGGGUGAGUGACUGUCUUGGAGUGCACCGGCACUCAGACGCAGAGCCACCUCCAUGCUUCCUGCGGCCUGCUGAUUUAAUUUUCUGCCACCUCCCUCCCACGGACUCAUCUGUGGCCUCCUGCACUGAUAUAAUAAAGCCCAAGGAACUGCACCUUUCCAACUCAAUAUCAAAGUCAACAACUCUGUCAUGGACAAAGAAGCGAGCGGAAAUAAAAUCAUUGUAGACAUUACACACCCUGCAAACUGCUAUAGGGUUAUUAAAACAAAAAUCUUCAUGCCAUCUUCAAAGUUUCUUUCUGCAGGCAAUUAAUCUGAUCAACCAGUCUGGUUCACCCCUCAGUCCUGUCUAUCGAUUACAUCAUUCACUAAAUUGCAAACAAUUUAAAUUAUUUUUUAUAAUGCUGUUUACAUUAUAAAUAAAUGUUGGUAUGUAAGUACUUAUGCACGUUUUAUUCCA